AACGAACGUUGGCGGCGUGGUUUAGGCAUGCAAGUCGAGCGAGAAAGUCACCUUCGGGUGGCGAGUACGGCGGCGCAAGGGUGAGUAAUGCAUAGGUAACGUACCCUUUAGUCCGGGAUAAGAGCGGUUGCCUUCGGGUAACCUACCGAAAGGGCUUCUAAUACCGGAUGUUAUCCACGAUUCGCAUGGAUUGUGGAUUAAAGAUGGGGACCCGUAAGGGCCUGUCGUUAAAGGAGCGGCCUAUGUCCUAUUAGCUUGUUGGUGGGGUAACGGCCUACCAAGGCAUUGAUGGGUAGCCGGCCUGAGAGGGCGAUCGGCCACACUAGGACUGAGACACUGCCCAGACUCCUACGGGAGGCUGCAGUCGAGAAUCUUUUGCAAUGGGCGAAAGCCUGACAAAGCGACGCCGCGUGGAGGAUGAAGGUCUUCGGAUUGUAAACUCCUUUUAGAGGUUAAGAAAUGCCAUUAUGGUAAUACUGUAAUGGCUUGACAAAGGCCUCAGAAAAAGCACCGGCUAACUUCGUGCCAGCAGCCGCGGUAAUACGAAGGGUGCGAACGUUGUUCGGAAUCACUGGGCAUAAAGAGCUCGUAGGAGGCUUGGCAAGUUAGGUGUGAAAUCCCCCGGCUCAACCGGGGAAUUGCAUCUAAAACUGCUUGGCUUGAGUGUAAGAGGGGAGAUCGGAACUCUUGGUGGAGCGGUGAAAUGCGUUGAUAUCAAGGGGAACGCCGGUGGCGAAAGCGGAUCUCUGGCUUACCACUGACUCUGAGGAGCGAAAGCUAGGGGAGCAAACGGGAUUAGAUACCCCGGUAGUCCUAGCCGUAAACGAUGGAUACUAAACAGAGGGGAUUCCGAUGUUUUCUCUGUUGAAGCAAAUGUGUUAAGUAUCCCGCCUGGGGAGUACGACCGCAAGGUUA
rnacentral:rRNA from 1 species